rnacentral:rRNA from 1 species
AUGUUAAGGAAACUUUUGAGGGGCUCUUCUAGCCAAAGCUCUCAGAAAAAACAAGCCAAAGAGAUGGAAAAAGCCAAAUAUAAUCUUCCUCGCUUAGCGGAAGUACGGUCGUGUGAAUGGCCAUGCGAGGAUUUCUUGAAAGAGGCUGGAAUUCAUGAAGACUUUUAUGCUUUAAUCGAGACUGCAGGCCUCACCAGUUUCAUCAAUGACCAAAUCGACCAGUAUCUCUUACUCACCAAUACUUUCGUGCAAAACUUUUAUUUUUAUCCUAAGAAGUCACCGUCUGCAGUAUCAUUUCAUUUAUAUGAUGAGUUCAAAGAAAUGUCUUUACGCCAUUUUUGUGCGGUAUGUAGGAUACCUUAUGAGGGAGAAUUAGAGGAACCCCAUCGUGAAGAUGUGGCUGGCUUUGUUAAUACUAUUGCUAUAGAGGAGCCAAAGAGGGGCUCUAAGGCAAAAGUCUCUAGCAUACACUUUCCUGUUUUACGCUACUUUGCCAUAUUUGCUAGUAGAUGCUUGAUUGGUCGUGGAAAUAGUGGAAACUUGAGCGUUCCAGAUAUUAUCAUUCUUCAAUAA